rnacentral:rRNA from 1 species
UACGUAGGGUGCAAGCGUUAAUCGGAAUUACUGGGCGUAAAGCGUGCGCAGGCGGUUAUGCAAGACAGAUGUGAAAUCCCCGGGCUCAACCUGGGAACUGCAUUUGUGACUGUAUAGCUAGAGUACGGUAGAGGGGGAUGGAAUUCCGCGUGUAGCAGUGAAAUGCGUAGAUAUGCGGAGGAACACCGAUGGCGAAGGCAAGCCCCUGGACCUGUACUGACGCUCAUGCACGAAAGCGUGGGGAGCAAACAGG